UACGUAGGGGGCAAGCGUUGUCCGGAUUUAUUGGGCGUAAAGAGCGUGUAGGCGGCUAGGUAGGUCCGUUGUGAAAACUCGAGGCUCAACCUCGAGACGUCGAUGGAAACCAUCUAGCUAGAGUCCGGAAGAGGCGAGUGGAAUUCCUGGUGUAGCGGUGGAAUGCGCAGAUAUCAGGAGGAACACCAAUAGCGAAGGCAGCUCGCUGGGACGGUACUGACGCUAAGGCGCGAAAGCGUGGGGAGCGAACAGG
rnacentral:rRNA from 1 species